GACGAACGCUGGCGGCGUGCUUAACACAUGCAAGUCGAACGGAAAGGCCCUGCUUUUGUGGGGUGCUCGAGUGGCGAACGGGUGAGUAACACGUGAGUAACCUGCCCUUGACUUUGGGAUAACUUCAGGAAACUGGGGCUAAUACCGGAUAGGAGCUCCUGCUGCAUGGUGGGGGUUGGAAAGUUUCGGCGGUUGGGGAUGGACGCGCGGCUUAUCAGCUUGUUGGUGGGGUAGUGGCUUACCAAGGCUUUGACGGGUAGCCGGCCUGAGAGGGUGACCGGCCACAUUGGGCCUGAGGUACGGCCCAGACUGCUACGGGAGGCAGCAGUGGGGAAUAUUGCACAAUGGGCGGAAGCCUGAUGCAGCAACGCCGCGUGCGGGAUGACGGCCUUCGGGUUGUAAACCGCUUUCGCCUGUGACGAAGCGUGAGUGACGGUAAUGGGUAAAGAAGCACCGGCUAACUACGUG
rnacentral:rRNA from 1 species